GUGUGUGUGUGUGUGUGUGCGGGGUGAGCGAGCAGGUGAGACCUCCGCAGGUGUGCCAGUGAUGUUAUUGUGUAUAAAGUCUCUGCGACUUGGCGCCACACGCAGCUAAUGGCUAACAGGGCUAAUGCUAACAAGGUCACGUGCUCCUCCGGCGUCCUGCUGCUGGAGGCCUUCUACGGGGGUUCUCACCGCCAGCUGACGGACCUGCUGAGCGCCCAGCUGGACUCCUGUUGCGUCUUCACGCUGCCCGCCAAGAAGUGGCACUGGAGGGCCCGGACCUCGGCGCUCUACUUCAGCCAGAGUGUCCCGCCCUGCCCCGCCUACAGGGUUCUGUUCUGCAGUUCGGUUCUGAACCUGUGCGAGCUGGUGGCUCUGAGGCCGGACCUGGCCCGCCUCAAAAAGGUUCUGUACUUCCACGAGAACCAGCUGGCGUAUCCGGUCCGCAAAGACCAGGACCGGGACUUCCAGUACGGCUACAACCAGGUUCUGUCAUGCCUGGUGGCGGACGUGGUGGUCUUCAACUCCGCCUACAACAUGGACUCCUUCCUGUCCGCCAUCCCCUCCUUCCUCAGGAAGAUGCCCGACCACCGGCCCAAAGGUUUGGCCCAGCUGAUCCGGCCCAAAUGCCAGGUGCUUCACUUCCCGCUCCACUUGGCCGACGUCAGCGGGCUGCUGCCCAGACACAAAGUCCUGCGUGGGGCCCCCCUGCCUCCUCACGCCCAUGACACGGUCGCAGAGAGGGCUGUGCCUCCUCCUCAGCAGCCCGGUCCAGAGAGCCUAGAAGUUUCUCCUGUUGGGCCGCUGCACAUCGUCUGGCCUCACAGGUGGGAGCAUGACAAGAAUCCUGAGAUGUUCUUCAGCACCAUGUUGAAGCUAAAAGAAGAAGGUCUCCACUUCCUGUUGUCUGUGCUGGGAGAAACAUUCACUGACGUGCCAGAGGUCUUUGUCCAGUCCAGACCUGUGCUGGAGCCACACAUCGUCCACUGGGGCUUCCUGUCCUCCAAAGAAGACUACAUCAGGGUCCUGUGUCAGGCUGACGUGGUGGUCUCCACCGCCGCCCACGAGUUCUUUGGCGUCGCCAUGUUGGAGGCAGUCCACUGCGGGUGUUACCCUCUGUGUCCCAACGCUUUGGUCUACCCCGAAAUAUUCCCAGAAGAGUACCUGUACUCCACGCCCCAGCAGCUUCACAAGAGACUGCGAGCGCUCUGCAAGAAGCCCCAAGUGGCGCGCACACACCUGGUGCAGGUGGACACCAGCACCUUCUCCUGGGACUUCCUCAAGGAGCGUUACCAAAGUCUUUUGAUCUCGUGACCUGGUCUUCCACGUGGUCUGGAUGAAGGUCAUCUUGUGUCAGGUGACAAUAAAGGGCCAAAAGACGACCAAAGAAGGAAGAAGAUGAAAUGAAGAAUGUUACAACAAAGAUUAAUAACACAACUUCAAAGUAAGAGUGUUUAAAAAAAAAAAAAACACAUUAAAAUAACCUCAAAUAAAUAAUAUAUUUGUUUUAAGCUUUAAAGAAACAUAUACAAAUCAACUUAAGAAAAUUGGGAAAAAAUACUGUAAGAGGUUAUAUUAAAGAUAUUUGGAAAACAAACAAAAUAGAUAUUUUUUAAUUUAAGGAAAGACUAUUUAUAGAUAAUGUUUUAAAAAGUUCAAAGGAUUACAAAUAUAUAUAUACAAACCCUGUUUCCAUAUGAUUUGGGAAAUUGUGUUAGAUGUAAAUAUAAACAGAAUACAAUGAUUUGCAAAUCCUUUUCAACCCAUAUUCAGUUGAAUAUGCUACAAAGACAACAUAUUUGAUGUUCAAACCCAUAAACUUUAUUUUUUUUUUGCAAAUAAUUAACUUAAAAUUUCAUGGCUGCAACACGUGCCAAAGUAGUUGGGAAAGGGCAUGUUCACCACUGUGUUACAUCACAUUUUCUUUUAACAACACUCAAUAAACGUUUGGGAACUGAGGAAACUAAUUGUUGAAGCUUUGAAAGUGGAAUUCUUCCCCAUUCUUGUUUUAUGUAGAGCUUCAGUCCUUCAACAGUCCGGGGUCUCCGCUGUCGUAUUUUACGCUCCAUAAUGCGCCACACAUUUUCCAUGGGAAAAAUGUGUGAACAUUUUACGGACUGUUGAUGGUAAAAUCCCUAAAUUCCUUGCAAUAGCUCGUUGAGAAAUGUUGUUCUAAAACUGUUCCACAAUUUGCUUACAAAUUGGUGACCCUCACCCUGUCCUUGUUUGUGAAUGAGUGAGCAUUUCAUGGAAGCUCCUUUUAUACCCAAUCAUGGCACCCACCUGUUCCCAAUUAGCCUGCACACCUGUGGGAUGUUCCAAAUAAGUGUUUGAUGAGCAUUUCUCACCUUUAUCAGUAUUUAUUGCCACCUUUCCCAACUUCUUUGUCACGUGUUGCUGGCAUCAAAUUCUAAAGUUAAUGAUUAUUUGCAAAAAAAAUUAAGUUUAUCAGUUUGAACAUCAAAUUUGUUGUCUUUGUAGCAUAUUCAACUGAAUA